rnacentral:rRNA from 1 species
GACGAACGCUGGCGGCGUGCCUCAUACAUGCAAGUAGAACGCAGUUGCGAACGGGUGAGUAACGCGUAGGUAACUGCCUCAUAGCGGGGGCUAACUAUUGGAAACGCUAGCUAAUAACGCAUACUGUGAGAUGGACCUGCUUUGUAUUAGCUAGUUGGUGAGGUAAAGGCUCAACACGGCGACGAUAGCUAGCCGAACUGAGAGGGUGAUCGGCACAACUGGGAAUGAGACACGGCCCAGACGCCGACGGGAGGCAGCAGGAGGGAAUCGUCGGGAAUGGACGGAAGGCUGACCGAGCAACGCCGCGUGAGUGAAGAAGGUUUUCGGAUCGUAGAGCUCUGUGGUUAGAGACGCGGUAACUAACCAGAAAGGGACGGCUAACUACGUGACAGCAGCAGCGGUAAUUC